GCCCCCAUUAUGCUCCUGCUUACAAUCUCUUAUUAUUUCUCCCCAAAAAGUGAAAUAUUCGGAGCGAUUUGCGAGAGACCGAUUUGAGAGAAAAAGCGAUUGUGAGAGAGACAGCAAAAUAAGAAGAGAGAGAGAAGCAAAGAGAAGAGAGAAGACAAAGAAGAAAGAAGACCUUGAGUGACCCCCUGCCAGAGAUUAAUCACAUCUUCUCAUUUGGGAUCCUCUGGACAAAGGGGUGUCGGAGAUGGGCUUGUGUUCAAGCAAGGACCGCCUUUACAUAAAAGGCUAUCGCCAGGGCUCACAGUGGAUCUACAGGAAGGAGGAGAGGAUCUGUAAGAUCACUGAUUUGGAGAGCAUGAGGAAGGACCUCAUUGGCGAAAUAAAAUGGACAAGCUAUGAUUAUUGUAUAGCUAGAGACAGCCUGGAAUUAACGAGGUGGUGAAAAAUCAUAUUUAUGGCUGAGGUCCUGCAGGACAAGAUGAAGGCCAAAGCCCAACUGAAAUCCCUCUACAAACAACUAGAGGAGAUAAACUGGGCAAUUUUGAGGAAGUACAUGGAAACAUAUCCAGGUACAGUAUCUAAUGAAUAUAUUUGUUCAAUUAUUACUAUUUUGUAAUAGGGCUGAUGUAUUGAAAGCCAUUGCAAUGCUGUGAUUUUGUGAAAAUCAACCACAAAAAGAACAUAUAUAUCCUGCGCAGCUGAAACCUAUUGAGAUGCCAUAGAAACUAAUAGGAAGUGUAUCUUCAUCAUUUUGGCAAGGAAUUGGGAUUGGGAUCAAAUGGCUUGAAACCUGCGAUUUGCAACUUGUCCCAUAAUCACAGAGGGAAAUGGUACAUUUGCAUUUAGUAAUGUUAAUUUGCAUAACUGCCAUAUUUUUAAUUAAAAUCCCCCAAAAUGUUAUAGACUUUUUCAGAGAUAUCACUUGCUAAGGUAAAACCCUUGGGUACAAGUUUAACAUUAUUUUGUUUGGUUUUGCAGAGAGCCCACCAGCACCAUCGCAGUUUACACAUUACCAUGUAUCGAUGUACCUCUGUGUAGGUG